UGAAGCGGCAAAAGCUCAAAUUUGAAAUCUGGCACCUUCGGUGUCCGAGUUGUAAUUUGAAGAAGGUAACUUUGGAGUUGGCUCUUGUCUAUGUUCCUUGGAACAGGACGUCACAGAGGGUGAGAAUCCCGUGCGAUGAGAUGCCCAAUUCUAUGUAAAGUGCUUUCGAAGAGUCGAGUUGUUUGGGAAUGCAGCUCUAAGUGGGUGGUAAAUUCCAUCUAAAGCUAAAUAUUGGCGAGAGACCGAUAGCGAACAAGUACAGUGAUGGAAAGAUGAAAAGAACUUUGAAAAGAGAGUGAAAAAGUACGUGAAAUUGUUGAAAGGGAAGGGCUUGAGAUCAGACUUGGUAUUUUGCGAUCCUUUCCUUCUUGGUUGGGUUCCUCGCAGCUUACUGGGCCAGCAUCGGUUUGGAUGGUAGGAUAAUGACUAAGGAAUGUGGCUCUACUUCGGUGGAGUGUUAUAGCCUUGGUUGAUACUGCCUGUCUAGACCGAGGACUGCGUCUUUUGACUAGGAUGUUGGCAUAAUGAUCUUAAGCCACCCGUCUUGAAACACGGACCAAGGAGUCUAACGUCUAUGCGAGUGUUUGGGUGUAAAACCCGUACGCGUAAUGAAAGUGAACGUAGGUGAGAGCUCUUAAGAGUGCAUCAUCGACCGAUCCUGAUGUCUUCGGAUGGAUUUGAGUAAGAGCAUAGCUGUUGGGACCCGAAAGAUGGUGAACUAUGCCUGAAUAGGGUGAAGCCAGAGGAAACUCUGGUGGAGGCUCGUAGCGGUUCUGACGUGCAAAUCGAUCGUCGAAUUUGGGUAUAGGGCGAAAGACUAAUCGA
rnacentral:rRNA from 1 species